ACGGAAGGCAGCAGUAGGGAAUCUUCGGCAAUGGGGGCAACCCUGACCGAGCAACGCCGCGUGAGUGAAGAAGGUUUUCGGAUCGUAAAGCUCUGUUGUAAGAGAAGAACUUGUGUGAGAGUGUAAAGUUCCCACAGUGACGGUAACUUACCAGAAAGGGACGUCUAACUACGUGCCAGCAGCCGCGGUACUACGUAGGUCCCGAGCGUUGUCCGGAUUUAUUGGGCGUAAAGCGAGCGCAGGCGGUUUAAUAAGGCUGAAGGUAAAGGCAGUGGCUUAACCAUUGGUCGCUUUGGAAACUGUUAGACUUGAGUGCAGAAGGGGAGAGUGGAAUUCCAUGUGUAGCGGUGAAAUGCGUAGAUAUAUGGAGGAACACCGGUGGCGAAAGCGGCUCUCUGGUCUGUAACUGACGCUGAGGCUCGAAAGCGUGGGGAGCAAACAGGAUUAGAUACCCUGGUA
rnacentral:rRNA from 1 species